rnacentral:rRNA from 1 species
AUGAACGCUAGCUACAGGCUUAACACAUGCAAGUCGAGGGGCAGCAUUUUAGUUUGCUUGCAAACUAAAGAUGGCGACCGGCGCACGGGUGAGUAACACGUAUCCAACCUGCCGAUAACUCGGGGAUAGCCUUUCGAAAGAAAGAUUAAUAUCCGAUGGUAUAUUAAAACCGCAUGGUUUUACUAUUAAAGAAUUUCGGUUAUCGAUGGGGAUGCGUUCCAUUAGUUUGUUGGCGGGGUAACGGCCCACCAAGACUACGAUGGAUAGGGGUUCUGAGAGGAAGGUCCCCCACAUUGGAACUGAGACACGGUCCAAACUCCUACGGGAGGCAGCAGUGAGGAAUAUUGGUCAAUGGACGAGAGUCUGAACCAGCCAAGUAGCGUGAAGGAUGACUGCCCUAUGGGUUGUAAACUUCUUUUAUAUGGGAAUAAAGUAUUCCACGUGUGGGAUUUUGUAUGUACCAUAUGAAUAAGGAUCGGCUAACUCCGUGCCAGCAGCCGCGGUAAUACGGAGGAUCCGAGCGUUAUCCGGAUUUAUUGGGUUUAAAGGGAGCGUAGGUGGAUUGUUAAGUCAGUUGUGAAAGUUUGCGGCUCAACCGUAAAAUUGCAGUUGAAACUGGCAGUCUUGAGUACAGUAGAGGUGGGCGGAAUUCGUGGUGUAGCGGUGAAAUGCUUAGAUAUCACGAAGAACUCCGAUUGCGAAGGCAGCUCACUAGACUGCAACUGACACUGAUGCUCGAAAGUGUGGGUAUCAAACAGGAUUAGAUACCCUGGUAGUCCACACAGUAAACGAUGAAUACUCGCUGUUUGCGAUAUACAGUAAGCGGCCAAGCGAAAGCAUUAAGUAUUCCACCUGGGGAGUACGCCGGCAACGGUGAAACUCAAAGGAAUUGACGGGGGCCCGCACAAGCAGUGGAGUAUGUGGUUUAAUUCGAAGCAACGCGAAGAACCUUACCAAGGCUUGACAUAUACAGGAAUAACUAAGAAAUUAGUUAGCUCUUCGGAGUCUGUAUACAGGUGGUGCAUGGUUGUCGUCAGCUCGUGUCGUGAGAUGUUGGGUUAAGUCCCGCAACGAGCGCAACCCCUGUACUUAGUUGCCAGCAUGUAGAGAUGGGAACUCUAAGUAGACUGCCGCGAAUAACGCGGAGGAAGGUGGGGAUGACGUCAAAUCAGCACGGCCCUUACGUCCGGGGCUACACACGUGUUACAAUGGGGGGUACAGAAGGCGGCUACCUGGUGACAGGAUGCUAAUCCCAAAAACCUCUCUCAGUUCGGAUCGAAGUCUGCAACCCGACUUCGUGAAGCUGGAUUCGCUAGUAAUCGCGCAUCAGCCAUGGCGCGGUGAAUACGUUCCCGGGCCUUGUACACACCGCCCGUCACACCAUGAGAGUUGGAAAUACCCGAAGCCUGUGAGCUAACCUAAGAGGCAGCAGUCGAAGGUAGAGCCAAUGAUUGGGGUG